rnacentral:sRNA from 3 species
CGUAAGCUUAAAUCCACACACGUGUCGACACGAUGACCUGGGUGCCUUCGGUUAUAUAGCCGCUGGUUGGUCAUUGGGAUACGUGGAGGCCAAACC